rnacentral:lncRNA from 1 species
GUGGGACGUCCACACGAACAAAGUGCAGCCAGGAUGGGAUGCCCCGUGGAGGACAGCAUCUGGGGGAGAGAUGACUGAGAGCGGGAAGGGCGAGCACAGUGGACAGCAGGGCCAGGGUCUGUGCAGUUCUAGAUGGAGUGUGCAGGUGUCAGGUCAGAGCUGGCAGACGCAGGGACAAGAAGGUGAGAAAAAGGUGCGAGUGAGGGGUGAAAGGACAAGCAGGAGAACCAGGCCGAGACGCCCCAAGAGCUGUGGCAGAGGAGUGCUUGAUGAGGGCCUGAUGGGAACAUGCAAGUUUAUGGGGAGCGAUUUUCCAAGGUCCUGGAGGAGAAAUACGGUGUCAGUCCACAUGGCUGAGAACGGGAUGGUGGGCAGAGCCUGUGGAUUCAGGUGUGUCUGCCACAAAGAGGGUUGAAGUGGGGUGAGCAGUGGGUGAGGAUCAAGAAGGGAGCACACAGCAGAGGAGAUGAUGGAAUCCAGUCUGAG